rnacentral:rRNA from 1 species
GAUGAACGCUAGCGGCAGGCUUAAUACAUGCAAGUCGAGGGACAGCACAGGUAGCAAUACUGGGUGGUAACCGGCAAACGGGUGCGGAACACGUACACAACCUUCCUUUAAGUGGGGGAUAGCCCAGAGAAAUUUGGAUUAAUACCCCGUAAUAUAGUUGAAUGGCAUCAUUUGAUUAUUAUAGCUACGGCGCUUAAUGAUGGAUGUGCGGCUGAUUAGAUAGUUGGCGGGGUAACGGCCCACCAAGCCUACGAUCAGUAGCUUAUGUGAGAGCAUGAACAGCCACACGGGCACUGAGACACGGGCCCACCUCCUACGGGAGGCAGCAGUAAGGAAUAUUGGUCAAUGGACGCAAGUCUGAACCAGCCAUGCCGCGUGAAGGAUUAAGGUCCUCUGGAUUGUAAACUUCUUUUAUCUGGGACUAAAAAAGGCUAUUCUUAGUCACUUGACGGUACCAGAUGAAUAAGCACCGGCUAACUCCGUGCCAGCCGCCGCCGUAAUAC